rnacentral:rRNA from 1 species
UACGUAGGGUGCAAGCGUUAAUCGGAAUUACUGGGCGUAAAGCGUGCGCAGGCGGUUAUGUAAGACAGUUGUGAAAUCCCCGGGCUCAACCUGGGAACUGCAUCUGUGACUGCAUAGCUAGAGUACGGUAGAGGGGGAUGGAAUUCCGCGUGUAGCAGUGAAAUGCGUAGAUAUCCGGAAGAACACCUGAGGCGAAGGCGGCUUGCUGGGCAUGAUCUGACGCUGAGGCGCGAAAGCGUGGGGAGCAAACAGG